rnacentral:rRNA from 1 species
GUCUGUGGUCAUACCACACUGAACACACCUGAUCUUGGAAGCUAAGCAGGGUUGGGCCUGGUUAGUACUUGGAUAGGAGAAUACGUGUUACAAACA